GCGGACAGAUGGGAGCUUGCUCCCUGAUGUUAGCGGCGGACGGGUGAGUAACACGUGGGUAACCUGCCUGUAAGACUGGGAUAACUCCGGGAAACCGGGGCUAAUACCGGAUGGUUGUUUGAACCGCAUGGUUCAAACAUAAAAGGUGGCUUCGGCUACCACUUACAGAUGGACCCGCGGCGCAUUAGCUAGUUGGUGAGGUAACGGCUCACCAAGGCAACGAUGCGUAGCCGACCUGAGAGGGUGAUCGGCCACACUGGGACUGAGACACGGCCCAGACUCCUACGGGAGGCAGCAGUAGGGAAUCUUCCGCAAUGGACGAAAGUCUGACGGAGCAACGCCGCGUGAGUGAUGAAGGUUUUCGGAUCGUAAAGCUCUGUUGUUAGGGAAGAACAAGUACCGUUCGAAUAGGGCGGUACCUUGACGGUACCUAACCAGAAAGCCACGGCUAACUACGUGCCAGCAGCCGCGGUAAUACGUAGGUGGCAAGCGUUGUCCGGAAUUAUUGGGCGUAAAGGGCUCGCAGGCGGUUUCUUAAGUCUGAUGUGAAAGCCCCCGGCUCAACCGGGGAGGGUCAUUGGAAACUG
rnacentral:rRNA from 2 species